rnacentral:rRNA from 1 species
UACGUAGGGGGCAAGCGUUGUCCGGAUUUAUUGGGCGUAAAGAGCGUGUAGGCGGCCUGAAAGGUCAGCUGUGAAAACUCGAGGCUCAACCUCGAGACGUCGGUUGAAACCAUCUGGCUAGAGUCCGGGAGAGGUGAGUGGAAUUCCCAGUGUAGCGGUGAAAUGCGUAGAUAUUGGGAGGAACACCAGUGGCGAAGGCGGCUCACUGGACCGGAACUGACGCUGAGGCGCGAAAAGCGUGGGGAGCAAACAGGG